rnacentral:rRNA from 1 species
CGAGAAGCGAACCUGCGAAGGCAAGCGGAUCUCUUAAAGCCGUUCUCAGUUCGGACUGUAGGCUGCAACUCGCCUACACGAAGCUGGAAUCGCUAGUAAUCGCGGAUCAGCACGCCGCGGUGAAUACGUUCCCGGGCCUUGUACACACCGCCCGUCACACCAUGAGAGUCUGUAACACCCAAAGCCGGUGGGACAACCUUUAUAGGAGUCAGCCGUCUAAGGUAGGACAGAUGAUUAGGGUGAAGUCGUAACAAGGUAAC